AAUAAUUUUUAAAAGCUAGGCUGUAUUACCUUGUUGUUUUCAUUUUUUAUUGAUUUAUUUUUUUUCCUGUAGGUCAGAAUGCGGGUGCCCUCAAUUCUGUUGAUUCUGCAUUCUUGAAAAAAAAAAAAUAUAUAUAUAAAGAAGAUGAAGAAAAGAAAAUCUGAUGGUAUCAGGAAUAUAUGCGACAUCAUUCAGAGAAAUGUUUCACUUGAGGAUCAGGCUUUGAGAAGUCACGACAGAAACCUUCACUCUCAUACGAUUUUACUGCUUCAUCUGUGUGUUUGCAGCUCUAAUAAACAAAGUGUCUCUCCAGGUCACAGUCGAAGGGUUUAUCGGUGGUUCUGUCGUCUUGCCGUGUUCUUCAAUUAAACGUGAUCUUAAACUUCAAGAUAUUAAUGUGCACUGGAGACAAAAGGGCGGCAAAAUUGUGUAUGAUGUAGUUGGAGGUAAAGAUUUAAGAGCAGCACAGGAUCAGCAGUACAAGAACAGAGCUGAAACUUUCACUAAAGUGUAUGAGGAAGGAAACUUCUCUCUCAAAAUCAGCAAUCUCACUCAAGCUGAUGCAGGAAAAUACAUCUGCCACAUCACAAACAUCCGUUCAUCUGAAUGUCAGACUGUACAGCUGGUCAUCAAAGAGAAUGAACAAGAAAAGCCUGAUGAUGAGGGGUCCACAUUGCACUGGGUUUACAUUGCUGUACUGUUAAUAGUAAUAGCUUGUUUCCUCAUAUUUCUCUGUAUAAAAAAAUUCUGUCUGGUGCAGGAACACUGAAUGAGAUCUUGAAACAUCAGUACAUUGCUGCCUCAAAUGUUGCUUCAAAUGUGUUUCUGUAAAUGUUAUUUCAAAUUUGUAUUUGAAUAAAAACUGCACAUUUAACAAAUUUGAUUCUUUAUAUAUCAGACUUGUAUUUCAGUGAAUUUACAGAUAAAACAUGAUGAUUAGGGGUGAGAUCUGCUGUGCAGCUCUGUUAUAACACUAACCUCACUAAAGAGGACCUCAAGGAGCCUCGAGUUGGUUGUACAGUGUGUUUGGCGCCCUCUAUUGGAUAAAGACAUGAAC